AGCAUCACACCCCUGAGGGAGGAGGAAUGGGACGAGGAAGAGGAGGAGGAGGCCGACGCCCCUGCACCUUCGUCACCACCCACGUCUCCAGUCAACUCCAGGUUUUCCAAUGGCCUUUUUCUUUUUAACAGAAAUUUGAAAUUUCUUAUCAGUCAUUUGAUUUGUUUGAGGUGCUUCUUGAAAUGAGCCUCUCAUCUCAUGUACUUGGAAAAUACCCAUCUCGCAUAUUCCACAGGAAACACCGGGCUGGAGUUGACAUCCACUCCUGUUCGCAGUUUUUGCUUGAGUUGUACAGCCGCUGGAUCCUGCCGUCCAGCUCAGCCAGGAGGACCCCGGCCAUCCUGAUCAGUGAGGUGGUCAGAUCCCUUCUAGUGGUCUCAGACUUGUUCACCGAGCGCAAC
rnacentral:lncRNA from 1 species